UUGACUUAGCUGGGUAGUGGGGAACCCUUCCAUGAGGAGUAGAACACUCCUUGUGCAAGAUUCCCUUCUACCUGACUGGGUUGG
rnacentral:pre_miRNA from 1 species